GUAAUUUAUUUAAUUCUGGUUGUGGGAGAUGUGUUUACUGUUACUACAUAGGUGUGUUGUAUGGUUAGUUUUAUAAGGCGGAGCAGUAUUCGUUUCCGCAGCUAGUAGUUAGAACUUGAAUUGGAAGAAAUUCCGAUUAGGGCAGUAGCAAAAAAGUGGUGAACACUCAGUGCCAGCUACCGCGGUUAAUCUGUUGGCUUGUUUCUCCGCUUUGGUAUAAAUUAUUGUAAAAGUAAAGAAAAAGGAGAGGUAGAAUUUAUUCCUUUGUUUUUUAAAUGCUUUUAAGUGUUUAGUCGCUUUUGAUAAAAAAGGAUUAGAGACCCUUGUAUAAAAGAAAGUAGUUUUUGACCUUAGUCUAAACUGAAAGGAUUUGGCAGCCGAUGAAGUUCGUCCGGGGGAGCGUGUUGCUUAAUAAGAUAGUCCACUCAUAGUUUUACCUUUUUUAUGGGUUAGUGUAUAUCCGGUUUAAGAUCUGUGAUUGAUGUCUACAGGUGUAUAUUUUAUAAUUUACUCCAGGUCUUUGUGCUGCUAAUAAAAAGGGGUGUUAUGCGCUACUAUCUUAAAACUGUUGUUAUUAAAAAAGGCAGUUAUUCAGGACUCGGUAGUAGGGGGUGUUAGGUAAGCACCUUUGAAGCGGAUUUAGUUGGGGUACACACCGCCCGUCAAUCAUGAUAUUUAGUUAUGAUAAGUCGUAACAUGGUAACGUUGGGGGAACCGGACGUUAGUAAGCUUUCUGUAUAACAGACGGUUUUGAAUGUUGUAUAAUU
rnacentral:ncRNA from 1 species